rnacentral:rRNA from 1 species
UUGGAGGGCAAGUCUGGUGCCAGCAGCCGCGGUAAUUCCAGCUCCAAUAGCGUAUAUUAAAGUUGUUGCAGUUAAAAAGCUCGUAGUUGAAUUUCGAGACCGGCUUACUGGUCGUGCUAUUGUACGUACUGGUAUAAUCGGUUUCUCCUUUCUGACGAACUAUAAUGCCAUUAAUUUGGUGUUAUAGGGAAUCAGGACUGUUACUUUGAAAAAAUUAGAGUGUUUAAAGCAGGCUCACGCUUGAAUACAUUAGCAUGGAAUAACGGAAUAGGACGUUUGAUUCUAUUUUGUUGGUUUCUAGGAUCGACGUAAUGAUUAAUAGGGAUAGUUGGGGGCAUUAGUAUUCAAUUGUCAGAGGUGAAAUUCUUGGAUUUAUUGAAGACUAACUACUGCGAAAGCAUUUGCCAAGGAUGUUUUCGUUAAUCAAGAACGAAAGUUAGGGGAUCGAAGACGAUCAGAUACCGUCGUAGUCUUAACCAUAAACUAUGCCGACUAGGGAUCGGAUGAUGUUGAUUUUUUAAUGACUCAUUCGGCGCCUUACGGGAAAC